AAGGGGAAGAAAAAGUGGAAACAGGUUUCCGGGGGGGGACCCGGGGGAGGGAUCUUCCCCAAAAAAUAUUUUUUCCUUAAAAAGUUUUUUUCUUUUGUGGGGGUUUGGCCCUUAUGUAUUUUGGGGAUUAAACCAUGAUCCCCUUUCGGGGGUUUGGUCCCCAAAACCAAUAUUUCUCCUUUUAAAAAACUUACUGAACUAAACAAUUGAUUUAAUAAUCUGUUUAAAACAACUUUCAACAACGGAUCUCUUGGUUCUCGCAUCGAUGAAGAACGCAGCGAAAUGCGAUACGUAAUGUGAAUUGCAGAAUUCAGUGAAUCAUCGAAUCUUUGAACGCCCAUUGCACUCCUUGGUAUUCCGAGGAGUAUGCCUGUUUCAGUAUCAUGAGCACUCUCACACCUAACCUUUGGGUUAUGAUGUGGAAUUGGGAUGCGCCGAUUUUUACUAGUCGGCACUCCUAAAAUGUAGCUCUUGGCUGUUUCCUACUACAGCAGUUUGGCCUAAUAGUUUUGACUUUUGUCAAAUCUUUGGCUACAUUUGCUUCUGGAAAUCAGUCUUGAUAAUCCAAGAAAACUCAAUUCAAACUUUGAUCUGAAAUC
rnacentral:rRNA from 1 species